GAUAUUGAUAAAGAGGCGUUUCUGAAUAUAAGCGAGACCGAGGUGUUACGAAUAAUAUCUACGAUUGGAGGGAUUCGCUGUUUUCUUGAGAAAAGGAGAUUAUUUAUAGGCAGUAUUAAAUUCGAAAAAUUACAUGAAAUAUCAGACAACGAUAAUGAUAAUUAAUUGAAAAAGUUACAAUGUCAAAAUUAGCAAUUAUCAAACCCCUUGCAGUGAAAACAAAGUCUCUUAUCCGUAAAGAAAGAGAGUGUAAAGGAUCAAAUUUUAAGCAAAAAGAAAUAGGGUUUUUAAAAUCAUCUUGCAAUGAUGAUGCUCAAGCUUUGACAUCGUAUACACAAAAAAAUCGUCUAAACGAUGAAACAUUAAUUGAUAAUCAUCAUUACGAAAAUUGUCAUAGCAGUGGGAAUGUAUUAAACGAUUCAUCAGAUAAUAU